GCCAUCCUUGUCUGUGGGAGCAAAUGUCCAAGGAUCGUUUAGUGAGGGCAUUGCUGCUAACACAAAAUUAAUUCCACCGCACCCUGAUAGAUUUCAGAGUGCAAUUUUUGGAGCC